rnacentral:snRNA from 1 species
AAUUGUGAGGGCGAUCUGGCUGUGACAUCUGUCACUCCAUUGAUCACCAGGGUUGAUUCGGCUGAUCUGGCUGGCUAGGCGGGUGUCCCCUUUCUCCCUCAUCGCUCCAUGUGCGUGCUCCUGAAGCUGCACGCUCAGUGGAAGAGGAUGACCAUCCCAGAUAGGAGUGUACCAAUCUUUGGUCAAGGGUAUACGAUAGCUACGCUCCUCUGCGAGAACCUCCAAACAAGCUCAAGGUCCUUUUGGCAAUCUUCUGACAAGCACAGUCAAUGGGGAAGCCAGAUUCACUUCACAGCCAUGUUACU